AGCGAACGCUGGCGGCGUGCUUAACACAUGCAAGUCGAGCGGAAAGGCCACUUCGGUGGUACUCGAGCGGCGAACGGGUGAGUAACACGUGAGUAAUCUGCCCUUGGCUUUGGGAUAGCCACCGGAAACGGUGAUUAAUACCGGAUACGACCACUUCUCGCAUGGGAUGGUGGUGGAAAGUUUUUUCGGCCAGGGAUGUGCUCGCGGCCUAUCAGCUUGAUGGUGAGGUAAUGGCUCACCAUGGCUUCGACGGGUAGCCGGCCUGAGAGGGUGACCGGUCACACUGGGACUGAGACACGGCCCAGACUCCUACGGGAGGCAGCAGUGGGGAAUAUUGGACAAUGGGCGGAAGCCUGAUCCAGCAACGCCGCGUGAGGGAUGACGGCCUUCGGGUUGUAAACCUCUUUCAGCAGGGACGAAGCGCAAGUGACGGUACCUGCAGAAGAAGCACCGGCCAACUACGUGCCAGCAGCCGCAGUAACAC
rnacentral:rRNA from 1 species